GAUGAAGAACGUAGCGAAAUGCGAUAAGUAAUGUGAAUUGCAGAAUUCAGUGAAUCAUCGAAUCUUUGAACGCACAUUGCGCCCUCUGGUAUUCCGGGGGGCAUGCCUGUUCGAGCGUCAUUAUAACCACUCAAGCUCUCGCUUGGUAUUGGGGUUCGCGGUUCCGCGGCCCCUAAAAUCAGUGGCGGUGCCUGUCGGCUCUACGCGUAGUAAUACUCCUCGCGAUUGAGUCCGGUAGGUUUACUUGCCAGCAACCCCCAAUUUUUACAGGUUGACCUCGGAUCAGGUAGGGAUACCCGCUGAACUUAAGCAUAUCAAUAAGCGGAGGA
rnacentral:misc_RNA from 1 species